UAUGUGUUAAACAUUGUGUCCCA
rnacentral:siRNA from 1 species